UUUGUAAAACCCAAAUUUUGCCCGGCCCGAGCCCAACUAUUAAAACCUAGAUAUGAAAAAAUAUCACAUAAAUAAAUGUCCAAUUAGUACAGUCCAGACUACAAAAUUUGGCCCAAAAUUUGGCUGAAACCCAAUUACAAAUAGAAAUAAAAUACCCUAACCCGAAAUACUAACUAAACCUAACCCGAAUUACCCAUUAAACCCUAGCCCAAUCACCAUGCAGCCCAAAACAAAAAUCAGAAGCAGGGAGCCCUAAAAGCUCCCAGCGCCGUUUCCCCACAAGCGCG
rnacentral:lncRNA from 1 species